rnacentral:rRNA from 1 species
GUCGAGAAUAAUUCACAAUGGGGGAAACCCUGAUGGUGCAACGCCGCGUGGAGGAUGAAGGUCUUCGGAUUGUAAACUCCUGUCAUCUGGGAGUAAGACCUGACGGUGAAUAGCCGGCAGGGUUGAUAGUACCAGAAGAGGAAGGGACGGCUAACUUCGUGUCAGCAGCCGCGGUAAUACGAAGGUCCCAAGCGUUGUUCGGAAUCACUGGGCGUAAAGGGAGCGUAGGCGGCGUGGUAAGUCAGAUGUGAAAUCCCGGGGCUCAACCCCGGAACUGCAUCCGAUACUGCCAUGCUUGAGGGUUGGAGAGGUAGCUGGAAUUCUCGGUGUAGCAGUGAAAUGCGUGGAUAUCGAGAGGAACACUCGUGGCGAAGGCGAGCUACUGGACAACAUCUGACGCUGAGGCUCGAAGGCCAGGGGAGCAAAAGGGAUUAGAAACCCCGGUAGUCC